UGUAACCAAAGUUCACCAUCGCGAAUGUAGGGUGUGUGAAUGAAAACAAACAUUUGAAUAUAGACAGAGAGACUCCUAUUAAUGCACGUUUUAUUUUGUAUUGCGCACCUUUGCAAAGUAAGCAUUGCUAGAACUUUGGCGAUGCAGUGACUACUCACAUGGCUAGUUAGUAAACUGCUCUGCCUAGCGAGUAAACUGCUGUAGCUGGCGAGCUAAUAGCAGAGGAGCGUUAGAGCGCCGGAUGUCAGGCUUUGACUCUCUCUUUCUGCUAUGUGUGUUACCGUUAUCAUAAUCCCUUCACUAAGGGAAACAACAACCUGCGAGGGACGUGCUAGCAUGUUUGCCCAACGGUUAUGGAAAAACCUUACUAUGCAGGGCAAGAUAAAGACAGAUGAAAACAUUGUUGCUGGCCAGUUCUCCAUUGUAAACGGAUCACCAGAAACAUUUGUUGCAAUUCACAUUCAUUGCUGCAAAUGGCAACAUUUUGGGACCGAUUGGUGGGGAUUGCAGUGGACAAAGGAAUUAGCCAUUCCAAAGCUUCCAAAUGUUACACCAAAACAAGUUCUUUCCUGAGAGUGUUUUCCAGAGGCACCAUCACUGCAUCUGGAGCUUAGCGCCACCCAAGAAGAUUGUUAUUGGUUUAAAGAAAUGCGAACGAGCCAGAGCGUUUUUUUUCCUCCUAUCCUAGAAUGUACCUGUGGUGUGUGGUGUGUACCUUAAUCCAGUGCUAAGGAGAUAGGUCUUGCAAUGCAGGACAAAGAUAAAGGCAACCUAGGUCCACAAAUGAAGAGUGAACGUCAAUAAAGUAGCUUAACCACAAAGUUCCCAUUGAUAUUUCUUUCUCAAUAGUUUGGUAUUCUUGCAGUGUCUGGGCAAGUUUAUCACAUGAAUAGCCUCUCUCUCUCUCAAUAAAUCUAUUACUCCUGUA